UGGGGAAUAUUGCACAAUGGGCGCAAGCCUGAUGCAGCCAUGCCGCGUGUGUGAAGAAGGCAUUCGGGUUGUAAAGCACUUUCAGCGGGGAGGAAGGCGAUAAGGUUAAUAACCUCAUCGAUUGACGUUACCCGCAGAAGAAGCACCGGCUAACUCCGUGCCAGCAGCCGCGGUAAUACGGAGGGUGCAAGCGUUAAUCGGAAUUACUGGGCGUAAAGCGCACGCAGGCGGUCUGUCAAGUCGGAUGUGAAAUCCCCGGGCUCAACCUGGGAACUGCAUUCGAAACUGGCAGGCUAGAGUCUUGUAGAGGGGGGUAGAAUUCCAGGUGUAGCGGUGAAAUGCGUAGAGAUCUGGAGGAAUACCGGUGGCGAAGGCGGCCCCCUGGACAAAGACUGACGCUCAGGUGCGAAAGCGUGGGGAGCAAACAGG
rnacentral:rRNA from 1 species